ensembl:lncRNA
GUCAACCUUAGGUCAUGACGACGUGGGGACUGGUGUCCAUAUACGUUUAAAGGGCUAAUUUCGACGUGGAGGUGACGAUCAAGGAUAAAGGAUGAAUUUCUACUAGACCAGCCAGAAUUCAGCGUGAACUGAUUAUGGCAAAACGGUAUGAACUUUGAACUCUUAUUCACUAAAGAAGAAGUGAUACAUCCUAGAAGUCUAGUUAUCAGCUGCAGCUGUAAUCGUAUGUGGCCUAGGAAUCUCCUAUGAGAACGACAGGGUACUUCAACGUAUCCACUCUACAUCACUACGGCCAGAAAUAUUCUACAAAGGACAAGGGCAAUCUCUGCUGGGCAAACCAGUCUUCCAUCAUCGACCCAUCUAUCGAAGCGCAGCUCAGUCUCCAUGCUGGAGAGCCAAAAAAACCCUGGUGGCUCUGUUUCUCACCCCCAGAACUGAUUGUGCCCUCCGCUUCUCCCUCAGCGUCUUCCAGUUUACCUCUCUAACCCAGACACACCGAGGACCCCGGCCCCAUGCACAACUCAUGCACCUACCGAGCGAAUGGGUAUGCUGACGCAAGGUAAAUGUUGCACUCUAGGAAAUUUACAGUCUACCCUUUACAUCCGUACACACCUUUCAUGCACUAACACUUGCCUUUUCUUACUAGCACUGCCUUUGGUGAUGGCUGCUUUAUUGAGGGACGUUUUACUGACUAUGACUGUGAGAUGUGGUUGUCUCACCUAUAAACCUUAAGAUGAAUGCACUAACUGUAAGUCGCUCUGGAUGAGUGUCUGCUAAAAUCCGAAAAUGUAAAUGUAAGGCUCUGACUCCCGUAUGUGGAGAUCUCUCAUGGAAGAGGAUUCCAAAUGUGACUGCUGUGACUCUGUCACAUGUGCUCCCUCUCCGGCCUCUAGGUCACCAGGCUGCUCUUUAGGGCGCACACCCGUCACCAGCGUUACACGCAUAAUGACACUCACCUGGACUCCGUCACCUCCUUGAUUACCUGCCCUUUAUAUGUCACUCCUUUUGGUUUCUUCCCCAGUCGUCAUUGUUGCUGUUUCAUGUCGGUGUGCUGUUCGUUUUUCUUGUGUUCGUUUAUUUAUUAAAUGUAUUCACUCCCUGAACUUGCUUCCCGUCUCUCAGCGUACAUCGUUACAGACUCCAAAUGUGUGACGUCCAAACCCAAAAGAGCUAUUAUGGAUGGGUUUGCCAGCAUUGGGCUUCUGCUGCUCUCAGAUCAGCUAUCCACACUGAAGGGUGGUUUCCUACCAGUCAGUCCCUCACUGGUCAAUGACGAUGAUGAAGAUGUUGUCUGGUGUGACAUCAAAAUGGAUGGGAAGAUGGAUGAGUGUGACAACCCAGAGGAUAUACUGGAACCUUUGAUGUGGAGAAGUAUUGUGAUAAGGAAGAGCUGUGCUACACUCGUUCCACAGAAAAAGAACAACAUUUAGAGGAGGAUGAAGAAUGAAGUAUUUAGAAAGGGGAAGAUAUGAGGGUACACAUGGGUCGGGUAUGGGGGAUUUAGAGUUGAUAAGGGGAGAAGGUCAGGGUUUAGAGCUGAGGAGGG